rnacentral:rRNA from 1 species
GACGAACGCUGGCGGCGUGCCUAAUACAUGCAAGUUGAGCGCUGAAGGUUGGUACUUGUACCGACUGGAUGAGCAGCGAACGGGUGAGUAACGCGUGGGGAAUCUGCCUUUGAGCGGGGGACAACAUUUGGAAACGAAUGCUAAUACCGCAUAAAAACUUUAAACACAAGUUUUAAGUUUGAAAGAUGCAAUUGCAUCACUCAAAGAUGAUCCCGCGUUGUAUUAGCUAGUUGGUGAGGUAAAGGCUCACCAAGGCGAUGAUACAUAGCCGACCUGAGAGGGUGAUCGGCCACAUUGGGACUGAGACACGGCCCAAACGCCUACGGGAGGCAGCAGUAGGGAAUCUUCGGCAAUGGACGAAAGUCUGACCGAGCAACGCCGCGUGAGUGAAGAAGGUUUUCGGAUCGUAAAACUCUGUUGGUAGAGAAGAACGUUGGUGAGAGUGGAAAGCUCAUCAAGUGACGGUAACUACCCAGAAAGGGACGGCUAACUACGUG